rnacentral:lncRNA from 1 species
UGCUGUGUAGCCUAUCCAAACCGUCAAUAUUUCACUGCGAAAGGGUCGUUAGUCUAGUUUUGUCUACGUUCAAAUAGCAAUAUGGACUCAGAUUGAAAAUAGUCCCACACCCAGGUUGGGAUUCUUACGCUGCAGGGUAAUAUAUUUCAGUCAUAUAAAAUGGAUAAUCAAUUCUUGAGGACGUUUCGUCCUCACCAUUGGAGUAACGCACGCAGCGCAGUGAAAUUCCGCCAGGCCGGGAACUGGGCCCGACCAUGGUCUCGAGAGACUUCUCACCCUUUUCACUAUAUAGCCGCUACACCUAUAAUAUGUACCCGAUCGGCUCCGUGAAGUUCAACCAUCGCCCCCGUCCCCGCCGCCGCCGUCGUCGUCGUCGUUGUUGUUGCUGCUGUUGUUGUUACUGUCAGUUUAAGACGCCUUGUCGAGUAGAACCCGUCUUUCAACCUCUACUCCUCCACAUAUUAUCAACUUUCAUGAUGCGAAAGGUCUCAAGUCUCAAUCCUCGGCACACGUUAAGCCUUCGAGCCAUUCCUGCUGCUCAUCCAAAAUAGCGAACGGAUACAGCCGUUACCUCAUGAAUGGGAUACGCAGAAGAGCCAGAUGCGUAUUCCAGCCGGCAACAAAAGCGUUAAGAUGUCAUCAUUGUUCAGGCACGAUCUGAUGAAAAAGGCAGGAAUGAAACAGACUGUCGCGUGCGUGGGAGGCGCCUUUAAUACUACCGUUUGUUUAGUCAGACAGGGCAGCAGUUCGUUUACAAAAUACUACGAACCGUGA